UACGUAGGGUGCAAGCGUUGUCCGGAAUUAUUGGGCGUAAAGAGCUCGUAGGCGGUUUGUCGCGUCUGCUGUGAAAACGCGAGGCUCAACCUCGCGCCUGCAGUGGGUACGGGCAGACUAGAGUGCGGUAGGGGAGAUUGGAAUUCCUGGUGUAGCGGUGGAAUGCGCAGAUAUCAGGAGGAACACCGAUGGCGAAGGCAGAUCUCUGGGCCGUAACUGACGCUGAGGAGCGAAAGCAUGGGAAGCGAACAGG
rnacentral:rRNA from 1 species